UACGAAGGGGGCUAGCGUUGCUCGGAAUCACUGGGCGUAAAGCGCACGUAGGCGGCUUUCUAAGUCAGGGGUGAAAUCCUGGAGCUCAACUCCAGAACUGCCUUUGAUACUGGGAAGCUCGAGUCCGGAAGAGGUGAGUGGAACUCCGAGUGUAGAGGUGAAAUUCGUAGAUAUCGGGAGGAACACCGGUGGCGAAGGCGGCGAUCUGGGUCGAGACUGACGCUGAGGCGCGAAAGCGUGGGGAGCAAACAGG
rnacentral:rRNA from 1 species